UAGUACUAAUGUGAUGAUCUCGAAGUUUUUUACUGUACAGUACCUCGAUACAUAAACCAAUUCACAAAAUUAUACAUUCUUCAUCUGGACUCUGCAUUACUGUUUGUGAGAGAUUCUGGUCUGAAUUUGUUGCGCUGUUUCCUACAUCAUACCUCCAAGCUACUUAAACUAAUUAAGUGAAUUUUCCUUUUUUAAUUAAGAAAUCCUUGGAGCUCUUAGAUGAAACAGCAGGAUGCAUACCACCAUGUUGUAUUUCAAGCAAUCAGUAUUUAUCAGUUUAAUGUUUGUCAUUCCUGAGCGCAGAUCCAAAGUUAACAAAUUGCUUUCAUUUUCAUUCAUUCUUUCUUCUUGUAAAAUUGUAUAUAAUUUAUGUUUUUCUUGUGAAUGCUGCUUAUACAAUGCUGUGUGCAUGUGAUGUGAGCAAGUUUAUCAUUCUACAUAUACGUAUGUAUAAGGCAUUAAAAUUGGUUUUGACUUUGAGACUUAAUGAGUCAUUUUGGACAAGUUCAUAGUUCUGACAUCCCUAGAAUAACUGACACAGCUUCUGAAUUCAAUACUAAUCACAACUGUAACAACUCUGAGGUCAGGAAAUUCUGACCCACAGCAUCCUCUAGUGGCUAUUGAGAACCAGUCAGCAAAGCAUUCCUUGAAAUGCCUUUUUACAGGCAAAAUCAUCCUGAAAAUACCCAGAACUAUGGACAACAAUACUGCUUUUAUUCUUUUUGUGAGAUCGUUCUUGCAGUUAUAAAUUAAAACGAUGAUUGCCUCUAUUCAGUAGUGCCAGUUGGAAGCCUUAGGCCACGCCCUCACUAGACCGGAUAAUUUUGAAAACACCCGUUUCGCAUAAAAAUGAUAGGCAUCCACACCAAGCAUUUCUGAAAAUACCUCCGUCCACAUUAAAAUGGGUAUUUGGACGAAUCUCCUCCUACCGGGCACGUGCAGGACACAUCUACAGAAAACAAGCAAAAUGUUUGGUGUCGAAUCUCGCCGUGAAAGUGCGCGUUAGUCCGGUUACAGACUAGAGAAACUGAAAAGGAAAUUGCCAAGCAGCAGACAGCUGUUGGCUCUUGUGCAGGAGGACUUAAAACUAAAAAAACAAAUAUUGGAAUGUAUGGAAGCAACUGACAAGGAGUUCAUGGACAGUAUGACCCGGCUGUCAACGAACAUUGAAAAACUGACUAACUCUGUUGCAUUAAUAAAGCACCUUUUUAAAUGUGUAAAACAUGUCUGCAUCAGUGUUAUCUUGUAUUUCCAUACAAUGUUACAGUAGGCUGUUACACAUCUAUUCUCAGAGAAGUACUUGCAUAAAUAGGUAAACCACCUUCAUACGAGCAAGGACAGAAAACAGGGCAAAGUGAGUAUACAUAUUUAUUCAGUACGUUAUUGGUCAAAGUAUUUGGUGAGUACAUUCCUAACUCUUCUGGCUUCAGUCUCGUUGCCGUCUGUUCUGAAAUUGUUAGGUUGUGUGGGGGUUAAAUAAUUAAAUGCUGCGCUGCUGCCACCAUCAGUUCCGGCAACAUCAUGACAGCGUUUUUAAAAAUCCCCGGUUACCCUGUCCUCACUACUCUGCCCAAUCAGUGUUUUCAAGUUUACACACUCUGGAGGGCGUUUUAGAAAAGCUCAGUUUUCGGGGGAGCGGAAAAUGCCGUUUCAGUGUGGAUGGAGUGUCAAAACGAAGAGAAAAAGCUUCGGUUAUGGAUUUAUCCGGUCUAGUGUGGACGUAGCCUUAGUUAGCAAAAGAACAUACGAGAGACUUGACGUGUAACGUGCUAACUUUCCCAAAAUUUGUCUGUCACAACACCGAGUUUCCCUUUCCUGUAAAAAUGCGGAAACAUCCUAAAUUAAUGCAAAUUAAUAAUUAUCACAGAUUGCACACUCAGGUAGUCGGUGUCUACUUUCCAUGGCGAGGGUUGUCUAAAACUAUAUGGCACAGGUUUGAGGUGAGAGAAAGGAGCUUUGAAAGGUAGUUGGUAUCUGAACGAGCUGCUGGAGACAGGAACUGUAACAUCUGUACAGAUUUAUAGAGUCAGAGUUCAAGUUCAAAAUGCCGGGCUGUGAUGCAACCAGUCACGUUGGGACUGCUGUCCAUAGAGCAGAAGAGGCUGAGGGGUGACCUGAUAGAGGUAUAUAACAUCAUGGGGGAAUUGAUAGGAUUGACAGCAAAAAUAUUUUUUCCCUUGGUGGAGAUGUCUGUAACAAGAGGGCAAGCGGGUAGAGGUGUGGAGGGAUCUGAGGGGAAUUUUUUCAGACAGAAAGGGUUGGAAUAUGGAACACACUGCCUGAGAGGGGAUGGAGGCAGAGACUCUCUCAGUAUUAAAAAAAAAGCAUCUAGCCAGGUGCUUGGAUGGCCGAGGCAAAUAAAUUGAUGGAUCUAAUGUGAGUAAAUUCUGUUUCCAAGGGGAGGGGUGCAAAAAACCAGAGAGCAGGGGUUUAAGGCGAGAGGGAGGAGGUUUCUGAGGGGUGAAUUUUUCUCACGAGGGUGGUUGGUAUCUGGAGUGAGCUGCCAGAGAUGGUGGUGGAGGCAGAAACAGCAUCAACAUUGAACAAGUCACCGAAUGAGCAGGGCAUGGUGGGGGGAUAUGGAAUUAACACAGGGUAGUAUUGAUAUAGAUAGGGUUUGCAUAGGUGCAGUGGGCCAAAGGGUCUCUCCCUGCACUGACUGACUUGUAAACUUCAGAUCAACACCUAAGAAUGACAACAUUAAACCCUACGACCCUAAGGCUCCUGAACCAGCAUGGAUAACUUCAGUCAGCUCAACACUGAACUAACUCCACAACCUAUAGACUCAUUUCCAAGGACUCUACUACUCAUCUUCUCAGUGUUAUGUAUCUUCUCUCUGGGUGUGUUGCAGCCUUCUGAAUUCUCCAGCUUCAGGUAACUUACCUUCUUUCUCUAUAUCAGAGCCAACCAUUUCACUGUGAUUGGCAUUGGGUGAGUUCCAUUAGGAUAAGUGGCAACGUUCCACAGCCUAUUUUGCAAGAUAUUACCCUACAUUGUUGGUAUAGCUGACAUCUGACAUCCCUCAUAAACCUAUUGACCAGAGGACCUUUACAAAUGGUAGCCUUAGCAACCAUCAUGGAUGUUGUCUCCGGCCUAUGCAUUCCUUUCCCCAUCUUCUCUGAAAUUUAUGGCCAAUUUAUUUCCCACUCUCCCCUUUCUAAUGAAGGGUCUUUGACCCUGAAGUAUUAACAUGUUUCCCUUUCCACAGAGUCAUCUGCUCAGGGCAGAGAGCGAGAUGCAAUCAAUGCAGGCAAUUUGGGAUUGGUGCAAAUUGGGUCAGUAUAGAUACUUUGGGCCAAAGGGCCUGUUUCUAUGCUGUGAAACUCUGAGGAACAUGACCUCAUCCUCUCGUUGGGCAGAGCUAAAGCCUUGUGACAAUGCUGAACUUUUCCCAGAGUGAAACCGUGGUGGGUGCGGGUUCGAUUUCAACAUUUAAGAGAAAUUUGGAGGGCGAUGGUCCAAGUGCAGGUCGACAGGACUAGGCUCAGCACGGAGUAGAUGGCCGAAGGGCCUAUAUCUCUGCUGCCGUGUUCCAUCAGUCCAUGACUCACUAAGCUGUACACAUGGAAAUAAAAGCAAAUCACGAACUUCUGAUCUACGCAGCAAGAAAUGACAAAUAUUAUAAUGAUUUAUAGGGAUGACUUGAAUAACAAUCUAUAUCCUGCUGUUCCUCUUAAUCACAGCUCCAGCAGAGAGUAAAUUAUAAAGGAAGACGUAUUAUUGCUGCUGCUCUCAGAACCCUUUGAGAAUGGCCCCACGUUUUAUUUUUCAACUUAUGAAGUAUUCCUGUAUUAUGGUUACUGCUGUAGCAAGACAGCCAUCUUGUGUGCAACAGACGCCCAGUAAACGAUAAGUUUGCUCUAGUAACUCACACAAAGUGCUGGAGGAGCUCAGCAGGUCAGCCAGUUUCUGGGGAGAGGAUUGAACAGUUGACCAUUUGAGCUGGGACCCUUCUUCGGCCCAAAAUGUGCAGUGUUCAUUCCUCUCCAUAGCUCUAAUGGACUGGGAAGAGGAGACCAACUGCAAGAUGCAACAGCCAGGAAGGCUGUUUGGCAACUCCUUGUGGAGAGUGAAGGGCACGACAAGUAACAGAAGAAAUCACUGUCCGCCACUGCAACCAAGGAAGUCUGCAGUUUGUAUCGACUACUUGUGUCACUGGACCUGGACUUCCAAGGUCGAGAGAACGGAACUGUUUCAGUUCAACUGCUUUUUCACUUGAAAGACUCUUCCGGAUAGGACUCUUGUCAUCAUCGGAUAUAGUGAGCAGCUUUGGGCCUCUUAUCUGUCAUUCAAACAUUCAUGAAUACAGCCAAAUAUUUACAUCAUUUAUUAUUAUAUUGUAAUUUUCCCUUUACUGUGCCUAUUGACUUGUUUAUUAAUUAUUGUACUAUCUUGCACUGUUUUGUGUACUUUAUGUAGUCCUGUGUAGGUCUGAAGUCUAGUGUAGUUUUGUGUUGUUUCAGGUAGUCCAGUGUAGUUUUGUGUUGUUUCACGUAGUCUAGUGUAGUUUUGUAUUGUUUCACGUAGUCUAGUGUAGUUUUGUGCUGUUUUAGGUAGUCUAGUGUAGUUUUGUGUUGUUUUACAUAGUCUAGUGUAGUUUUGUGUCGUUUCAGGUAGUCCAGUGUAGUUUUGUGUCGUUUCAUGUAGUCUGGUUUAGUUUUGUGUCGUUUCACGUAGUCUAGUGUAGUUUAGUGUCGUUUCACGUAGUCUAGUGUAGUUUUGUGGUGUUUCACGUAGACUAAUGUAGUUUUGUGUCGUUUCACGUAGUUUGGUGUAGUUUUGUGUUUCAUGUAGUCUAGUUUAGUUUUGUGUCGUUUCAGGUAGUCCAGUGUAGUUUUGUGUCGUUUCAGGCAGUCCAGUGUAGUUUUGUGUUGUUUCACGUAGUCUGGUUUAGUUUUGUGUCGUUUCACGUAGUCUAGUGUAAUUUUGUGUCGUUUCAGGUAGUCCAGUGUAGUUUUGUGUUGUUUCACGUAGACUAGUGUAGUUUUGUGUCGUUUCAUGAAGUCUAGUGUAGUUUUGUGUCGUUUCAUGAAGUCUAGUGUAGUUUUGUGUCGUUUCAUGAAGUCUAGUGUAGUUUUGUGUCGUUUCAUGAAGUCUAGUGUAGUUUUGUGUCGUUUCAUGAAGUCUAGUGUAGUUUUGUGUUGUUUUAGGUAGUCUAGUGUAGUUUUGUGUUGUUUCACGUAGUCUAGUGUAGUUUUGUGUUGUUUCACGUAGUCUGGUUUAGUUUUGUGUCGUUUCACGUAGUCUAGUGUAGUUUUGUGUCGUUUCAGGUAGUCCAGUGUAGUUUUGUGUUGUUUCACGUAGUCUAGUGUAGUUUUGUAUUGUUUCACGUAGUCUAGUGUAGUUUUGUGUUGUUUUAGGUAGUCUAGUGUAGUUUUGUGUUGUUUUACAUAGUCUAGUGUAGUUUUGUGUUGUUUCACGUAGUCUAGUGUAGUUUUGUAUUGUUUCACGUAGUCUAGUGUAGUUUUGUGCUGUUUUAGGUAGUCUAGUGUAGUUUUGUGUUGUUUUACAUAGUCUAGUGUAGUUUUGUGUCGUUUCAGGUAGUCCAGUGUAGUUUUGUGUUGUUUCAUGUAGUCUGGUUUAGUUUUGUGUCGUUUCACGUAGUCUAGUGUAGUUUAGUGUCGUUUCACGUAGUCUAGUGUAGUUUUGUGGUGUUUCACGUAGACUAAUGUAGUUUUGUGUCGUUUCACGUAGUCUGGUGUAGUUUUGUGUUUCAUGUAGUCUAGUUUAGUUUUGUAUUGUUUCAGGUAGUCCAGUGUAGUUUUGUGUUGUUUCACAUAGCACCAGGGUCCUGGAGGAAUGUUGUUUCGUUUUUACUGUGUACUGUACCAGCAGUUAUGGUUGAAAUGACAAUAAAAGUGACUUGACUUGAAACAAAACAGAGUUCCUGCAGGGCCAAGGUGCAAAAAACAGUACUAACAGUCACACAUAGCACAAGGCACAUAGAGCAGAUAUAAAAUGACAGUAAAAUACAAUCACACAUACUGAUAGCCCAAGCCCCAGAGUCCAUGAAGCAGCAGUAUGUAGUUGAACACAAUACAAUGCCUUCUACCGAGUGAACACUGGGGGGCAGCACCAACUCCAGCAGAGACCUAGCCCUCGGCACUCCUGUGGAGCGCCCGACUCCAACACCUCCUCGAGUGACUGCAAAAAGGCCACAUCAAGGCCAUUCAGCCUCCCCGCCUUCUGUCCAUAACCCAGUGAAUUGGACCUGCAGCAUUUCAGAUUAACUAUGUCCACCAGGGUCUUGUGAUCACAAGAAAAGCAGCUAGGGUUGAUCACCCGCUGUUAAGACUGCACACAGCCUUUGUGCACCGACUCCAAUAUCUCUGCCGACGAGCAGCUUGCGGAUGGGAUACACCUGCAGUACUUUACAUUCCUAGCGUUCAGCUGGGCUUUGCGAUCUUGAAAUGUCAGUAACACCUUUGGCUCUGUAGAGUCCACUGCGUCCAGGCGUGCCACCAUCUUACUGGAAGGAUUUGCUGGCAUUGGAAGGGGUCCAGAGGAGGUUCAUGAGAAUGAUCUCGGAAAUAAAAGGGUUAACACAUGUUUGACGGCUUUGGCCCUGUACUUACUGGUGUUUGGAAGAAUGAGGGUGGAUCUUGUUGAAACUUAUUGAAUUUAGAAAGGCAUGGAUAGAUGUGGAGGGGUGUUUCCUAUACAGAGAGAGUCUAUAGUGACAACCUCAGAAUAGAAGGAGAAGCGGAAGGAGAAGAAGAAGAAAAGGAAGGCCCUUAACUCCGAGUGGAGUAUCAGGACACCGUCGCGAUGGAGUUUUUUUUAAAACAGGCUUUCUUGUUUUUACGAGGCCAAGUUGCCAGCUCAACGUUCAACCCAGAACACGGAUGGAAAGCGUGGAAGGGAGCUGCUGGAUUCGAACUCGGGAGCCUUUGCUCCAAAGUCCGGCACUGAUGCCACUACGCCACCAGCUGGCUCUUUAGAACAGAGAUGAGGAGGAAUUUCUUUUACCAGAGGGUAAUAAUUCUAUGGAAUUAAUUGCCACAUAUGGCUGUGGAGGCCAAGUCAGAUAUAUUUAAAGCAGAGGUUGACAGGUCCUUGAAUAGUCAGGGUGUCAAAGGUUACAGGGAGAAGGCAGAGGAAUGGGGUUGAGAGGGAUAAUAAAUCAUCCAUAAUGGAAUGGCGGAACAGACUCGAUGGGCUGAAUGGUCUAAUUCUGCCCCUAUGUCUUAUGAUAUGACGGACAAGCAGUGAUUGUGCAGGAUAUCGGGAAUAAUUCCCAUCUACAUUUCAAAAGAAUCCAAGAGUAUAGUCUAUACCUUCAGGCUGAUGUGGCCUAGGGUUGCUGCCUCAUUCCUACAAAGAAAUCUUAAGAACAGUGCAGCACUUCCUCAGUGGACUGUGGAGCGGUGAGACAGGAGCCAGAGGUGAUUGGUGGACUGUGGAGCGGUGAGACAGGAGCCAGAGGUGAUUGGUGGACUGUGGAGCGGUGAGACAGGAGCCAGAGGUGAUUGGUGGACUGUGGAGCGGUGAGACAGGAGCCAGAGGUGAUUGGUGGACUGUGGAGCGGUGAGACAGGAGCCAGAGGUGAUUGGUGGACUGUGGAGUGGUGAGACAGGAGCCAGAGGUGAUUGGUGGACUGUGGAGCGGUGAGACAGGAGCAAGAGGUGAUUGGUGGACUGUGGAGCGGUGAGACAGGAGCAAGAGGUGAUUGGUGGACUGUGGAGUGGUGAGACAGGAGCCAGAGGUGAUUGGUGGACUGUGGAGCGGUGAGACAGGAGCCAGAGGUGAUUGGUGGACUGUGGAGCGGUGAGACAGGAGCCAGAGGUGAUUGGUGGACUGUGGAGCGGUGAGACAGGAGCCAGAGGUGAUUGGUGGACUGUGGAGCGGUGAGACAGGAGCCAGAGGUGAUUGGUGGACUGUGGAGCGGUGAGACAGGAGCCAGAGGUGAUUGGUGGACUGUGGAGCGGUGAGACAGGAGCAAGAGGUGAUUGGUGGACUGUGGAGCGGUGGAAGGUGAUGUCAGGGGAGAGGGAGAUGAAGUUGCAGGCGAGUGACGGAGGAAGACAGAAGUGAAAAAAUACUUUGAGAGGCAGUUGAAGUGCAUGUGGUGGGGGUGGGGAGGUGAAGGUUGGAGUCAGCUGCUGGAGGGAGAUGAGCAGGAACACAAAGGGCUACCCGUGCCUCACUCUGAUGAACAAAGGAAGUCGGAAUGGGCACCAUUAGGGUAAAGGGGCAUGGCAGGUGACUAGACCCCGAAGGGGUGGGAGAAGAGGAAGGUGGCAUAUCUGUGUGUGUGUGUGUGUGUGUGUGUGUGUGUGUGUGUGUGUGUGUGUGUGUGUGUGUAACCAGGAGAAGGAUGAAAUGAGUGAAAUAAAGAUAACAGUACUGUGAGGAAAGAUCAGGGCUGGGGUGAAGAAACAUGAGUUACUAUAACUUUGACUGACAUGAGAUUUGGGGCAGAAACCGCAACGACUGUAUAUUCAAAGGCCUGGGCAUUUCAAGGCACAGAACUGACUAAUGAGGCUGAAUGGCAGCAUUUUGUUCCAGUGCUGAACUGCUGACAGAACAAGGUUCCAGAAGUGAUUUCCCUGCUUUUGAAGGUCAUACAUCAGGAAAACAAGCCCUUCGGCUCAUCCAUGUUGUCCAGCGAGCUAGUCCCACCUGCCUGUUUUCAGCCCAUAACCGUCUAAACCUCUCCUGUCCAUGUACUUAUCCUGAUGGAUUUUAAAUGUUCCUGAUGUGCCCAGCUCAACCACCAAUUCUGGCAGCUCAUUCCAAAUUCUUCCUCAAAAUAGUCUUGGUUUCUUCAUGUCCCACCUCAGAGAACAAAAUGUUGCACAAAAUGACGACAGCAGAGUCCGGCAGACUGGCUGGAUAUUAAACCUCCACUGUCUGGAGCCUGAGGCCGGGAGUUCGGAGUCCCACCAUCAGCAAGUUGAUGCCAAAGGUUGAAGCCAAAAGUUGCCCGAAGUCCAUAAGACACAAUGGCAGAAGCCGUGAAUCUGAGAGCCCAGGGGGCAAGUCAGAGGCCUGAUGUCUGUGAGUUUGAGAGUCUACUGGAGGCAGCCUGUCCUAGGGUUGGAGGCCUGUCUGUGUGAGUGGGUGGGAGGGAGGGAUGAAAGGGGGAUGUUUCCAUUGCCGUUCUGUCGUACUGAACAUUUUGCAUUCUGGAUCUGACAUGUGGCGACACUUUGUGAGCUGCCCCCAGCACAUCCUUAGGUUAUGUUUGGUUGUUAACACAAAUGCCUCAUUUCACUGUUUCGACGUACUGCACCUGCGAUAAGUAACUGAAUCGGAAUCAGAAAGCAUAAGGUUGCAGCUGGCAGAUGUUUGAUAAUUAAGUGUUGGGGGAGUAGGGAGAAGACCACAGGUGUGUUUUUGCUAAGGAAGGUGGCAUCGAUUAUUAAGGAUGGAAGCUGAGAACAGCCUGAAAUCACAGCUUACGGACAGCCUCAAGCACUCAAUGGGAGCAUCGGCCAAGACUGUAUUCUAGCCUGUACGGUAUGAUGUGAAGAUGUAACCUUUCUAUUCCGAGCUGAGGUCAUCAUGGAGAGGGUGAGCGGUCCUACCGUGAUCAAGUUGGACGAGGUGACUGUGUGGUCAACCUGACCAAUACGUCACAGGUCCACAGACUGCGGUGAAGACACGAGAGCAGGGCUGACAAACAAACUGACCAAUGUCGUUGAUUCAAAGGCAUUUAUAUAUGAUCAUUCAGCAGAAGACUGCAAGAACCAUUUCAAGCAAUUCUAAACUGAACACUAUUAAAUUAAUAUGGAACGGAAAAUGUAAAGCACAAUAUAAUUAAGGAUUAAAAUCUAUCGACACAAGUGCAAUUAAAAUUGGUGGUACUGUGCAAUCGGCUGCACUAAAGCCAACUUAAAGAACGUCCAACCAAGUGCAGUCGAACUCCGAUAAUCCGCUAUGUGACCGUGGAUCGAAUACGGCUGGUUCAGCAAAUGGUUACUGGGGCCCUGGUUCCUGCACUCGUUUCAACACAGGACCACAUUGGCUGUGCUCCCUUUAAAUUCAGUUUGCUGGAAACUUCAGACUCAUUUAUCGUGCGUACAUCGAAAUGCAUCCUUUGCG